rnacentral:misc_RNA from 1 species
GUUCUUUUUAGCAUGUAAAUCUUGCAUACCAAGUAUUUGAUAAAAUCCCUAAAUGAACUUGACAUAAUGUGGGAGGUAUGAUCAAUUGGUUAAAGAAAAUUGUUAUAUGGCUUAUCGGGUAGGAAAAUUCUUAAGUAAACAACAAAAUUUGCUCAACGAGUGUGCUUAUUAAGAAUAAUCGAGGAAUUUAUUCUGAACUAUCUGUAUUUUUCUAUUUGACACUAGUUCCAAAGGAGCAAGGUGGAA